rnacentral:rRNA from 2 species
UACGGAGGGUGCGAGCGUUAAUCGGAAUUACUGGGCGUAAAGGGCGCGUAGGCGGUGGGUUACGUCUGCCGUGAAAUCCCCGGGCUCAACCUGGGAAUGGCGGUGGAAACGGGCUGACUGGAGUAUGGGAGAGGGUGAUGGAAUUCCAGGUGUAGCGGUGAAAUGCGUAGAGAUCUGGAGGAACACCAGUGGCGAAGGCGGUCACCUGGCCCAAUACUGACGCUGAGGCGCGAAAGCGUGGGGAGCAAACAGG